AUGCGCCGGAUAACCACCAAGCACUGGGGGCCUUACCGCCGCACUGGACAGACGUCAGGCUCCGGCGCCGGCGCCGGCGCCGGCGCGGUCGACCGCCUCAGCGCCCUCCCGGACGCGCUCCUGCACCACAUCAUGUCGUUCCUGAAGGCCUAGGAGGUGGUCCCCACCUGCGUGCUCGCGCGGCGGUGGCGCCACCUCUGGGCGUCCGCGCCCUGCGUCGACCUCCGCGUGCGCCACUCCUACGUCCGCGAUGCCAACCCGCCGGAGGAGUUCCGUGACUUCGUGGACAGCCUCUUCCUCCACCGCGAUGCGUCCGCGUCGGUGGACACGCUCCGCCUGCGGUCCAGCGACGACUAUGUGGGCUUCGACGAGAAAGAUGCCAACUCGUGGAUCAGGAAUGCUGUCAGCCGCAAAGCGCGGGUUAUUCAUCUUGUUGGACAUCGUAAGGGAGUCGCGUCGUUGGACCACGUGCCCUUCGUCUCUUGCCACCUCAAGAUCUUGAAGUUGUCGUAUGCCAGGCUCGACGAUAGGAUCCUUGGACAGCUUUCUUCUAGUUGCAAAUCCUUGGAAGAGCUGGAUCUGAAGGAUUGCUUGGUCACUGGCCCUAAGAUUGUGUCUACCUCUUUGAAGACAUUAAUCAUGCUCAAAUGCACGUUCAAUUGGGACUUCUCCAUUACUGCUCCGAACCUCGUGCUGCUGCGCCUCAUCACACCUUCCGUCCGAUUUCCGUCAUUUAUCAACUUUGGGUCACUGGUCACAGGCACCAUCAUACUUGAUGAUUCUCUCUUGUGUGAUGAUUUUGGAUACAUCAGUGAUGAAGAUAAUUUUGAUGAAACUAGUGAUGAUGAUAACCACAACGAUGAUAAGAGAGAGAACUAUAAGAUUCAUGAUGACUGUUCCUUGAGAAGAUAUGGACACAGUCGUUACAAGGAUAAUUAUGAUUAUGGUAGCGAUAUUGAUAGUGAUGACAAUACCUAUGAAUAUAGUGAGAUUGCAAAUGAUGCAAAGUAUGGCUACAAAGGGGCCAAGCUUUCUAGUGAAGAUGGUAAGUAUGGUGGAAACAGUGGUCGAAAUUAUAGUAAGAUUCUAGGUGGCCAAAAUAUGCUUGAGAGCCUUUCUACUGCUAUGAGUUUGGAGUUGUUAAGUGAUGCUGGAGAGGUGGUUCUGAGUAGGGAAUUGAAAAGGUGUCCAACAUUUAGCAACCUGAAGACCCUGUCCCUUGGUGAAUGGUGUAUGGCCGCUGAUUUCGAUGCAUUAAUUUUCCUGCUACAGCAUUCACCUAAUAUAAAGAGGCUUUUUCUCCAACUUAAAUUGAACUUCAAUACCAGAAGGGCAUCAGAAACAGGUAUCAAACUACAGGGAAGAUCAUUUACUUGCAAAGACCUUCGAAUGGUGAACAUUACAUGCUCAAAGGAUGAUGGGAGAGUCCAUGAGUUGGCAAAUUUGUUUAGGGCAAAUGGAAUACCCCUCGAGAAAAUUUAUGUCCGCCGCAGUGGGAGUGCUUAUCUCCGUAGCCAGAAGCAGAUGAAAGAAUUCGCCAGGCGUGAACUGGAGUUUUGGGGGAUGUAA
rnacentral:rRNA from 1 species